rnacentral:rRNA from 1 species
UACGUAGGGGGCAAGCGUUGUCCGGAAUCAUUGGGCGUAAGAGCGUGUAGGCGGCCCGAUAAGUCCGCUGUGAAAGUCCAGGCUCAACCCUGGGAUGCCGGUGGAUACUGUCGGGCUCGAGUCCGGAAGAGGAGUGUGGAAUUCCUGGUGUAGCGGUGAAAUGCGUAGAUAUUGGGAGGAACACCGGUGGCGAAGGCGGCCCCCUGGACCAACACUGACACUGAUGAGCGAAAGCCAGGGAGCAAACGGG